GACGAACGCUGGCGGCGUGCUUAACACAUGCAAGUCGAACGGAAAGGCCCCCAUCUUGGUGGGGGUGCUCGAGUGGCGAACGGGUGAGUAACACGUGGGUGAUCUGCCCUGUACUUCGGGAUAAGCUUGGGAAACUGGGUCUAAUACCGGAUACGACCAUGGCUUAGUGUCUCAUGGUGGAAAGAUUAUUGUUUUGGUGCAGGAUGAGCUGGCGGCGUAUCAGCUUGUUGGUGGGGUAAUGGCCUACCAAGGCGUCGACGGGUCGCCGGCCUGAGAGGGAGGGAGCCCACAUUGGAACGGGAGUGCGGCCCAGACGCCUACGGGAGGCAGCAGUGGGGAAUAGUGAACAAUGGGCGCAAGCCUGAUGCAACGACGCCGCGUGGGAGAUGGCGGCCUUCGGGUUGUAAACUCCUUUCGUUAGAGACGAAGCCGCACUUUUUUGGGUGUGGUGACGGUACCUUUGUUAAGAAGCACCGGCUAACUACGUG
rnacentral:rRNA from 1 species